AUUUGGGGGCUGGGAGGGGUCAGGAAUUUUGGGGGGGAGUCGCAGGGGGGUCAGGAAUUUGGGGAGGGGUCUGGAGGGGUCACAGGAGGGGUCUGGGGGGUCCCUUGCCUCUGUCUCCUUGCGCCGGGGAGGAGGAGGAAGGAGAGGGGGAGCAGGAAUUUGGGGGUUGGGGGGUCAGGGUUUUUUUGGGGGUUGUGAGGGAUUUUGGGGGGGUGUGAGGGAUUUUGGGGGGUGAGGAAUUUGGGGUUCAGCGCUCACGUCCUGCAUGAACUUGCGGCAGACGGGGCGGAUCUCCUUGCUGAGCGUGGCGCUGAACAUCAUCACCUGCUUCUCGUGCGGCGUCAUGCGGAAAAUCUCCUGCACGUCCCGCCGCAUGUCUGCGGGGCAGCGUCAGCACCAAAAAACACCCCAAAAUGCCCCAAAACGGCCCCAAAACCAGCCCCGAAUCUCCUGCACGUCCCGCCGCAUGUCUGCGGGGCAGCGUCAGCACCAAAAACACCCCAAAAUGCCCCAAAAUGGCCCCAAAUCUCCUGCACGUCCCGCCGCAUGUCUGCGGGGCAGCGUCAGCACCAAAAACACCCCAAAAUGCCCCAAAAUGGCCCCAAAUCUCCUGCACGUCCCGCCGCAUGUCUGCGGGGCAGCGUCAGCACCAAAAACACCCCAAAAUGCCCCAAAAUGGCCCCAAAACCAGCCCCAAAUCUCCUGCACGUCCCGCCGCAUGUCUGCGGGGCAGCGUCAGCACCAAAAAAACAGCCCAAAAUGCCCCAAAAUGGCCCCAAAACCAGCCCCAAAACCCCACAUCUCCUGCACGUCCCGCCGCAUGUCUGCGGGGCAGCGUCAGCAGCGCCCAAAAUGCCCCAAAAUGGCCCCAAAAUGCCCCAAAACCAGCCCCCAAACCCCACAUCUCCUGCAUGUCCCGCCGCAUGUCUGCGGGGCAGCGUCAGCACCAAAAACACCCCAAAAUGCCCCAAAAUGGCCCCAAAACCCCACGUCUCCUGCACGUCCCGCCGCAUGUCUGCGGGGCAGCGUCAGCAGCGCCCGAAAACGGCCCAAAAGGACCCAAAACGGCCCCAAAACCCACAAAAGGACACCCAAAAUGCCCCGAAACAACCCCAAAAUGCCCUCCUA
rnacentral:lncRNA from 1 species